rnacentral:tRNA from 1 species
GCCUGGUUGGCUCAGUCGGUUAAGCAUACGACUCUUGAUUUCGGCUCAGGUCAUGAUAUCAUGGUUUGUGGGUUCGAGCCCCACAUUGGGCU